UGGUUAGUGACAUGGUGAUUUUUUGGGGGGUGGAUUUGAUGAUGGUGGAGGUGCGGGUAGCAAUUGGUCUUCCAUUGAAGAAUGAGGAUUUGGGAGUUGAAGAUAGGGAAGUGGCGAGAGAUGCAGUGGCCAUGGAUGCCAUUAGGGGUAUUUUGGGAAGAGAAGAGGUUUAGUGAGAGUUGAUAUAUUUUGUGAGAGUGGGGUGGAAUGGGUUUUAUAAAGGAGAUGAUGAGGUGUGAGAUAUGUGAAAUAUUGUGUGACUAAAAA
rnacentral:lncRNA from 1 species